rnacentral:rRNA from 1 species
GUGUCAGCCGCCGCGGUAAUACGUAGGCAGCGAGCGUUGUUCGGAGUUACUGGGCGUAAAGCGUGCGUAGGCGGUUGGCUAAGUUUGGUGUGAAAUCUCCCGGCUUAACUGGGAGGGUGCGCCGAAUACUGGUCGGCUUGAGUGUGGGAGAGGGAAGCGGAAUUCCUGGUGUAGCGGUGAAAUGCGUAGAUAUCAGGAGGAACACCUGCGGUGAAGACGGCUUCCUGGACCAUUACUGACGCUGAGGCACGAAAGCGUGGGGAGCAAACAGGAUUAGAAACCCUCGUAGUCC